rfam:Beta vulgaris subsp. vulgaris Bvchr6.sca027.con0067.1, whole genome shotgun sequence.
GUCUCUUCGGAGGCAUUUAAUAAAAUUGAAACGAUAUAGAGAAGAUUAGCGUGGUCCCUGCGCGAGGAAAACACGCACACUCGCACAGAUUGAGAAAUGGUCUUU